AUAAAAGCUAAGAUGAAGAAUAGUACAUAUAUGAUGGAGUCAAGAGAGUGAAAUGACCUGCUGCAAUUUUCACCUCCCGCUCAUAUAUCGAACCUACUUCGGAGCUACUAUGCAAACAUAGUCGUGACCUUCACGAUAUGAAGGAUAAGCUGUGCCGCAUUGCGGCAAAUCUAGGUGGUACCGCGGAGACAUGCGUUUUCGUCCUUAUU
rnacentral:ncRNA from 1 species